CGGAACGGGCACGGUAGCUUCCGCACACAAACAGUGGCUGGUGGUGCCUGGUCCUACAAUAGCACUUCUGCAGUCACAGUCAAGUCAGCC
rnacentral:miRNA from 1 species